rnacentral:lncRNA from 1 species
ACUUGAAGGAAAUUCAUCGUUUUUUAGUUUCAAGAAAAAAUCGAACGAGAAUGAGAUGAAUUAAAACUCUCAUUUUUCAUUUAAUGACUCUUCUCUUUUUUAUGAAGCUUUUUUCAUAUUCUCAUUACUUUAUUUUCCUUUCCAGACUCUAUCACCAUGUUUUUCACAGAAAAAAUUAUCUUGAGAUAUUAUUUUGAUCCAGAGCGUUGUUUCUUUUUGAGAAAAUUUGGUUAAUUUAAAGUUAAAUCCGCGCGGAUGCAUCUGUAAGUCAGUUAUUUUGAGUUACAGAAACGUUGUUUUGUUAUCGUUAUUUUUAAGAUAAGAAUGAUGACAAAACAACGUUUUUUUAACUGAAUUAAGUGUCUCUUUUUCAAAUCCGGACGAAUUGAUAUAAAAGAAUUCAAACUUUAUCGACAAGAAACAACGCUUCAAAAUUGAAAUAAUACUUCCGGGAAAAUUUUUUCAGUGUCAUCAGUAAUGGUCGCUUACACUAUAGCGUAUAAUUCUUACUUUUCAAUUUUUAGUUCUCUUUCGAAGUUGAAAGUGUUUCUUUUCAUAACUUUUCAGUAGAAUCAUGUAUUAAUUUUUUUUGCCCUUUAAAUUUUACUACCUUUACUAUACUUUGUACCAAUAAAGUUUAAUUAUAUGGAAUCCCUCCGCUUUUCGUAAUGCCCAAAAUGAGAUGCUUUCUUGUUGCCGGGUUUCUGACUUCAAAGAUGUUUUCUCAAUAACAUGAUGUAAUGUUCAAAAAAUGUUAUUGUAUUUACCGUGCCUGCAUUUGCCACCCUAUUUACCUAAUCAUUAAUGUAUUUCCUUUUAUUAUUUCUCUUGUAAUCAGUUUAGCUCGAAAAGACAUCCUAAUUAUGGAAACUUUUUAUUUUUGAAUUCGCCAAGCACCGCUUACGUAAAUAAGUAGAACCCACAACCUUGACGCUCUGUGUCUGAAUAAUCACAAAAAUGUAUUUACUGGAGCAUAAUACUUGUGCAAUUCAGCGCCAACAAAGAAUUCGAUAAAUUUCUUAAAUGACAAGUAUGCUUUCCUCUAAGGAGUAGGAGGAGCUCUCAUUGUAAAGUCACAUUUCCCUCUGCCCUGAUUUCUCUCGCGAGAGUGAGAAAUAUUUUUCGUUUUGUGUCGUCUUUAAGUAAGACGUUUAAACUCUUCAUCUUUUUAUUAAGUAACAGGAUUUACAUUCAUUAGUAUUAGUACCGUCAAUAUACUUUGUUACUCGCUGUAUCAUAUCAUUUUCUAAAAUCAAAAAAUCGAAACUAUCCCAUUUCUACAGAACUCUUUUCAAAAUUGCUUGAAUCUUGGCGUUCUUAUCAUGAACUUCAACCGAAGCAAAUUGCCUUAUUUAUUUUAUAACAGAUACUAUUUUUCUAUUCUCUGUUCGUGUUAAUGAACUUAUUUCAUUUAUUAUUUAUUAUCAUUUACAACCUACUGUGGUCAUUCAAUAAAGGAACUAUUUUUCCAAAAUGAGUAUUUUUUUUUUGAAGUGUUUCUCAAAUACAAUCCACUUACAAGGUCCUCAUUUUUAAACGAAUGGAUGCGAAAAGCCAUGAAUUUAUCUAGUUCACUGUACAAGUUUCGGCCCUAUUGAGAUCUUUCGAACGUUUGCAGUAUGAACCAGAUGUAAUUAGUUUUUCAUUGCUCCAAAUUAUGGCCUCUCUAGUGAUAGUAUAACAACCGAGGAUAUAUUUUACAGUGUUGCCAGCCGCAGUGGGACGAAUAAGUUCCCGUUUACACUUGAAUAAUUGUUUGUGAAAAUUUCGCUCGUUCAGUUUAAGUGUUGCUGUAAUAAAAUAGUUGUCUUGAACGGAAUUAACUGGAAUCUUAGUAACUGCAUUUCACGUUUACUAAUUGUUUUAACAGAUAAUGAAAUAAAUUAACUUCCGUUUACGUACUGUAAAUAUGUACUGGAAUAUGAAUGAUACACCUCCUCACGAAAGUUAAAAUUCCCGUGUUGCUUAGUUGUUUCUGGAAAAAGUAAAACAUCCGAGGAAAUCAGGCAACGUCUGGGCUUCGGCAAAAUUUGCCAAAUUCAUCAUUGAAAAUCGGACUACGUCUGGCAAUCUAGG